rnacentral:rRNA from 1 species
AACGAACGCUGGCGGCGUGCCUAACACAUGCAAGUCGAGCGCGAAAAGGGCAACCUGAGUAGAGCGGCGCACGGGUGCGUAACACGUGGGUAAUCUGCCUCAAAGUUUGGGAUAACCUUCCGAAAGGUUGGCUAAUACCGGAUAAGCUCACGAGGUCUUCGGACUUUGUGGGAAAAGGUGGCCUCUAUUUAUAAGCCAUCACUUUGAGAUGAGCCCGCGGCCCAUCAGCUAGUUGGCGGGGUAACGGCCCACCAAGGCUACGACGGGUAGCUGGUCUGAGAGGACGAUCAGCCACACUGGAACUGAGACACGGUCCAGACUCCUACGGGAGGCAGCAGUGGGGAAGUUUUGCACAAUGGGCGAAAGCCUGAUGCAGCAACGCCGCGUGUGUGAUGAAGGUCUUCGGAUCGUAAAGCACUUUCGACCGGGACG